CAAAGCAUAGCUAGGUAGGAAGCGUCUCUUUUACGUGGAGCUGAGGUUCGUGCGAUUCGAACUGUUUUGA
rnacentral:tRNA from 1 species